CUUGAACGCUGGCGGCAGGCCUAACACAUGCAAGUCGAACGAGUGGCGGAGGGGUGAGUUAUGUAUGGGAAACCGCUUUGUGGAGGGGUAUAACCACUAGAAACGGUCUCUUCCACCGUAUACCAUCGUAUGGGCCCAGAUGGGAUUAGCUAGUAGGUGGGGUAAAGGCUCACCUAGGCGACGCUCCCUAGCUGGUCUGAGAGGAUGACCAGCCACACUGGAACUGAGACACGGUCCAGACUCCUACGGGAGGCAGCAGUGGGGAAUAUUGCACAAUGGGCGCAAGCCUGAUGCAGCCAUGCCGCGUGUAUGAAGAAGGCCUUCGGGUUGUAAAGUACUUUCAGCGGGGAGGCGUUACCCGCAGAAGAAGCACCGGCUAACUCCGUGCCAGCCGCCGCGGUAAUUC
rnacentral:rRNA from 1 species